rnacentral:rRNA from 1 species
GUCUGCAGCCAUGCCACCCUGAAUGUGCCUGAUCUCGUCUGAUCUUGGAAGCUAAGCAGGGUUGGGUCUGGUUAGUACUUGGAUGGGUUCAAUCUUAUGUGUAGAAUGUGACAUUUUAAGUU